rnacentral:rRNA from 1 species
GAGUUUGAUCAUGGCUCAGGAUGAACGCUGGCGGCGUGCCUAACACAUGCAAGUCGAACGAAGCAUAUAGAAGGAAGUUUUCGGAUGGAAUUUUAUAUGACUUAGUGGCGGACGGGUGAGUAACGCGUGGAUAAUCUGCCUUACACAGCGGGAUAACAAGUGGAAACAGUUGCUAAUACCGCAUAAGCACACAGUAUCGCAUGAUACAGGGUGAAAAGAUUUAUCGGUGUAAGAUGAGUCCGCGUCCCAUUAGCUAGUUGGUGAGGUAAAAGCUUACCAAGGCGACGAUGGGUAGCCGGCCUGAGAGGGUGAACGGCCACAUUGGGACUGAGACACGGCCCAGACUCCUACGGGAGGCAGCAGUGGGGGAUAUUGCACAAUGGGCGAAAGCCUGAUGCAGCGACGCCGCGUGAAGGAUGAAGUAUUUCGGUAUGUAAACUUCUAUCAGCAGGGAAGAA